UGAGUAAAUUCUUAAACACGUCCGAAAUUAUCAUUAUGAUAAAUUCGCAGCACAUUUUGAAUUUAUCAUAAUAAUAAAUUCGCGGCACUAACCCCUAACCACUAAUCCCCUAACUCCUAACCAGUAAUCCCUAGCUCCUAACCCUAACUUUUUUAACCGUUUUAAAUUUUUUUAACUUUUGUAAAAAUCUAACUUUUUAAACUUUUUUGCUUU